rnacentral:lncRNA from 1 species
UUACUGUCUAGAUAGGGUGGUGGUGGUGACCCACAUGCAUGGAAGGACAGGAAACAAUAUAAAAACCACAUCACUGAGCUCUCAACUCUAUCUUCCAACUAAGAAGAAAGUGAUUAACAUGACCAAUCAGCACACAAAAGACCGCAAACAACUCCUGGUGCAGUUGGGCAGUGAGGAAGGCGGGAUUCUCCUUGAGGGUGUAAACCAAAAAGUAUCUGACACAGGUCUCAAUCAACUUAGAAGUUUAUUUUGCCAAGAAGAAGGACAUGUCCAGAAGAGAUCAACAUGAAUCACAGAAAUGCUGUGUGACAUCCUGCAGCAAAAGCUUGGCCCCUUAUUCACAGAGCUGAAUGCACACCGGAAAAGGAGUCCAGUAAAAGGUAGAGCAGCUUCAGGUCCCAUGGCUACCCCCAUGCAAAGGAGGUGAGGCCACAGAACCGAACUGGGGUCUGUUCGCCUGGCACAGCAAAGUCAAACACUAACAUUAGGAUGGCAGCGAGAGGAAGUGAAGCAUUUAUUUGCAAGCACCAAGCAAAGAGAGUUGGACAGUUGAUGCCUAAGAUCCCACCUGCCCGGUGGCUUGCAGGGAUGUGUGUUGGUCACAAUAAAUGCUACAGAAUACAAUACCAAUGUGGGAAGAUGACAGAAAGAUCCUGGAAACCUCAACCCCACCUCAUUCUUCAAGAUACAGCUCAAAAAGCUCUCUGAAUAACGCAGAAAAGCUAAGCUGACUACUCCUGCUUUGAUCAUGAUGAUGUCUUGCUCAGAAUUUCAGGAUAGUCCAGGGAUCACCGAAAGAGAUCACCAAACUUUCUCUAUGAAGAACCAAAUACUACAAACUUCCGUCUUUGCCGGCCACGUGGUCUCUGACUCAACUGCUCAACUUUUCACUAACGUGAAAGUAGCCACGGACCAUAUGCAAAAAAAUGGGAGUGGCUGUGUUGCAAUAAAACUUUACUUGUAGAUGCUGAU